rnacentral:lncRNA from 1 species
AGAUGCUUCUUUUAACCGGUCCCUAAUUAUUCUGACCUUAUCCUCAGUAUCAGCUACCAACUCUGGUCCAAGAAUUUGUCACUCUCCUAGUUCAGUCCAACAACUAGGUGUACGACACCUUCGUCCAUACAGUGCUUCAUACGGUGCCAUUCGAAUACUCGCCUGGUAACUGUUAUUGUACGCAAAUUCUGCCAACGGCAAGUAAUCCUCCCAACUACCUCG